UUGACCUCAAAUCAGGUAGGACUACCCGCUGAACUUAAGCAUAUCAAUAAGCGGAGGAAAAGAAACUAACAAGGAUUCCCCUAGUAACUGCGAGUGAAGCGGGAAAAGCUCAAAUUUGAAAUCUGGCAGCUCUUGAACUGUCCGAAUUGUAAUCUAGAGAAGUGUUACCUGUGCUGGACCGUGUACAAGUCUUCUGGAAUGGAGCAUCAUAGAGGGUGAGAAUCCCGUCUUUGACAUGGACUGCCUGCACGUUAUGGUGCGCUCUCGAAGAGUCGAGUUGUUUGGGAAUGCAGCUCAAAAUGGGUGGUAAAUGCCAUCUAAAGCUAAAUAUUGGCGAGAGACCGAUAGCGAACAAGUACCGUGAGGGAAAGAUGAAAAGAACUUUGGAAAGAGAGUUAAACAGUACGUGAAAUUGCUGAAAGGGAAACACUUGAAGUCAGUCGCGUUGGCUAGAAAUCAGCUUAGCUUUUGCUUGGUGUACUUUCUGGUUGAUGGGUCAGCAUCAAUUUUGACCAUUGGAUAAAGUUGAUGGGAAGGUGUCACAUCUUCCCAUUGUUGCAUACAGUGGUUGGGAUUGAGGAACUCAGCACGCCACAAAGGCCGGGUCUUUGACCACGUUCGUGCUUAGGAUGCUGGCAUAAUGGCUUUAAUUGACCCGUCUUGAAACACGGACCAAGGAGUCUAACAUGCCUGCGAGUGU
rnacentral:rRNA from 1 species